rnacentral:tRNA from 1 species
AGCCCCGUGGUGUAGCGGUUAUCAUACCCGGCUUUGGACCGGGUGACCCAGGUUCGAAUCCUGGCGGGGCUA